rnacentral:rRNA from 1 species
UACGGGGGGGGCAAGCGUUGUUCGGAAUUACUGGGCGUAAAGGGCCAGUAGGCGGCCAACUAAGUCCGACGUGAAAUCCCCAGGCUUAACCUGGGAACUGCGUCGGAUACUGGAUGGCUUGAAUUCGGGAGAGGGAUGCAGAAUUCCAGGUGUAGCGGUGAAAUGCGUAGAUAUCUGGAGGAACACCGGUGGCGAAGGCGGGUCUCUGGGCCGAUACUGACGCUGAGGAGCGAAAGCGUGGGGAGCGAACAGG